UACGAAGGGUGCAAGCGUUACUCGGAAUUACUGGGCGUAAAGCGUGCGUAGGUGGUUUGUUAAGUCUGAUGUGAAAGCCCUGGGCUCAACCUGGGAACUGCAUUGGAAACUGGCUGACUAGAGUGCGGUAGAGGGGUGUGGAAUUCCCGGUGUAGCAGUGAAAUGCGUAGAUAUCGGGAGGAACACCUGAGGCGAAGGCAACCCCCUGGGCUGAUACUGACACUCAUGCACGAAAGCGUGGGGAGCAAACAGG
rnacentral:rRNA from 1 species